rnacentral:rRNA from 1 species
GGGUCAGUAGAUUGGUCGUGCCACUGGUAUGUACUGGUCUUACUGGCUCCUCCUUCCUGAUGAACCGUAAUGCCAUUAAUUUGGUGUUGCGGGGAGACUGGACUGUUACUUUGAAUAAAUUAGGGUGUUCAAAGCAGCCAAAAAAGGAGGCAUGAAUACUACAGCAUGGGAUAACGGAAU